AACGAACGCUGGCGGCGUGCCUAACACAUGCAAGUCGUGCGAGAAAAGUUCCUUCGGGAGCGAGUAAAGCGGCGCACGGGUGAGUAACACGUAGGUAACCUGCCCCCCAGUCUGGAACAACUAGAGGAAACUCUAGCUAAUGCCGGAUGAGACCACGAUCCCUUCGGGGGUUGCGGCCAAAGAUGGCCUCUACUUGUAAGCUAUCGCUGAGGGAUGGGCCUGCGGGCCAUUAGCUUGUUGGUGAGGUAACGGCUCACCAAGGCUGUGAUGGCUAGCUGGUCUGAGAGGAUGACCAGCCACACUGGGACUGAGACACGGCCCAGACUCCUACGGGAGCAGCAGUGGGGAAUAUUGCGCAAUGGGCGAAAGCCUGACGCAGCGACGCCGCGUGGGUGA
rnacentral:rRNA from 1 species